rnacentral:rRNA from 1 species
AUGGCUCAGGACGAACGCUGGCGGCGUGCUUCAUACAUGCAAGUCGAACGAGAAGCUGACUUCGGUCAGUGGAAAGUGGCGGACGGGUGAGUAAUAUGUAGAGAAUCUGCCCUUGAGUGGGGGACAACAGAGGGAAACUUCUGCUAAUACCCCAUAUGAGCUAACUUGAAAUAGUUAUCUUGAAAACUCCGGUGCUCAAGGAUGAGUCUGCAUCUGAUUAGCUAGUUGGCGGUGUAAUGGACCACCAAGGCGACGAUCAGUAGCUGGUUUGAGAGGAUGAUCAGCCACAAUGGGACUGAGACACGGCCCAUACUCCUACGGGAGGCAGCAGUAGGGAAUUUUGCGCAAUGGGCGAAAGCCCUGACGCAGCAACGCCGCGUGAACGAUUAAGCCCUUCGGGGUGUAAAGUUCUGUCAGUAGGGACGAAUUUUGACGGUACCUACAGAGGAAGCACCGGCUAACUCCGUGCCAGCCGCCGC